rnacentral:lncRNA from 10 species
CAAAACUCCUUCUCAUGUCCUCUCACUCCAGCACUUCCAUUCUCCCCACCAAUGGCCCUAUUUGUUUACUGCCAUGUUGCUGUUGCGUUUCACAAGGUUGCUGAUUUCUUCUCCAAAGAUUUGUUUCCCGGGGGCCUCCCAGUGUUGUAGAACCUACAGUGUAUGACUUGGAGGAGUCAAUGAGAUUUCCUCUCCAUUCUAAUCACAUAUAAGUCUCGCUUGUUGCCCAGGCUGGAAUGCAGUGCAGUGGUGUGAUCUCGGCUCACUGAAACCUCCGGCAACCUCCACCUCCCGAGUUCAAGCAAUUCUCGUGCCUCAGCCUCCUGAGUAGCUGGGACUACAGGUGCACACUACUACUCCUGGAUAAUUUUUCUUGUUGCCCAGACUGGUCUCGAACUCCUGACCUCAAAUAAUCCACCAGCCUCGGCCUCCUGAAGUCCGGGGAACUACAGGCGUGAGCCACCAUGCCUCGCCUGUUUUCUCUUUUCAUUCUUUUAAACAUGUAAAAAGUAACUUUGAACUGGAAAGCACUUCCAUUUUAAAUAAAAAUGAAGUAAUUUGAGGGAUUAAUCAUCUCACGUAACAAUCUUGAGUGAUGAGAAUUGACAGAAUUCAUUGUUUUGUUUUUCAGUUACAACCAAUAAAAAUGUGGAUCGUUAAGUUCAUGUGCUCUUGGGGCCUACUUAUGGGCUUGAGCUCCAUCGUUUACAUUAAUGUCUCAAUUAAAUAAUUUCCCAUAACUUUUUUUUACAUAUUUCUCCAUAUGAAAAUAAAGAAAAUAAAAAUCAUAAAUCCUUCAAAUAGUCUCAUUCUUAAUCAGUGUUGCCAGUCUUGCAAAAGUCUUACAAGAACUCUAAGAAUAUCUUAGCUCCCUCUUCACUUUCAUAGUCCAACUUACAUAGGUUAUUUCAGUGAUAAUAGAUUCUUUGUAAGAGUGCAAUUAGAUAUUUUUAAUGAGCUUUCUCUUGACUAUGGGGAGCUCAUGAUGAUACUGGAAAAUUCUCUACUUGAAUUAGAGCUCUAAUUUUUAAAAGUACUUUGAUCUCCUAACAUUUUUCACACAUAUCCAUAUGUCAAAUUUCGUGAUGAUACUUCCUUUCUUGAUUACGCAAUUAAUGUUUCUGGAUCAUUUACAACCUUAAAUAUUGUCACCUUUUGAAAGAUUUUUAAAUGUUUACCUGCAGCUUACUCACACAGCAUAAAACAGAUGCAGGACUAUGUAUGCAUACAUUACCUAUAGAACAUUCUAUCAAGUCACAUGUUUUCUUACUAUAUAUAUAUUUGAUUAUACAUGUAAUCAAAAUAGCAUAAUCGAGCUAUGUGAAAAUGUAAAUUUGAAAAGAGUAAACAUAUUUAAGGUAGAAAGAUACAGUUUAAAAAGUAAUUAGGUGUUCAUAAUCAUUUGCUACACUCUUGGAGCACAUCAGGAGUUACAUUUGUUGCUUUUAUUCCAAUAAUACUGGAAAUAGAUUUUAAAAGAAAACAAAUUUCUUAGUAAGGCCAAUUGUAUUUCUUUUUAUAGGUUUGUAUAACUUAAAGCUUGUGCUUUAUAUUUGGUAGUAUUUGGUGUCUACCCUCUUGA